rnacentral:rRNA from 1 species
AGCAUACUGCCGUGAAUACGUUCCCGGGCCUUGUACACACCGCCCGUCACACCAUGAGAGUUGGGAAUACCCGAAGCCUGUGAGCUAACUUUUAGAGGCAGCAGUCGAAGGUAGAAUCAAUGAUUGGGGUGAAGUCGUAACAAGGUAAC